rnacentral:rRNA from 1 species
CUGCCCCCAUCACAGACAUAACCUCGGGAAACCGAGGCUAAUAUCUGAUGAGGUCGUGAGAUCAAAGCUUCGGCGGAUGGGGAUGAGCCUGCGGCUGAUUAGCUAGUUGGUGAGGUAAUGGCUCACCAAGGCGACGAUCAGUAGCUGGUCUGAGAGGACGAACAGCCACACUGGAACUGAGACACGGUCCAGACUCCUACGGGAGGCAGCAGUGAGGAAUAUUGGUCAAUGGGAGCAAUCCUGAACCAGCAAUGCCGCGUGUGGGAUGAAGGCGCUUCGCGUCGUAAACCACUGUCGGACGGGACGAAAGGAGCUAUGAAGCUCUAGGACGGUACCGUCAAAGGAAGGAUCGGCUAACUACGUGCCAGCAGCCGCGGUAAUACGUAGGAUCCAAGCGUUGUCCGGAUUUACUGGGUAUAAAGGGUGCGUAGGCGGCCUUGUGCGUCAGAGGUGAAAUCUCCGGGCUUAACCCGGAGGGUGCCUUUGAUACGGCAGGGCUUGAGUGCGAGAGAGGAUGAUGGAAUUCCUGGUGUAGCGGUGAAAUGCGUAGAUAUCAGGAGGAACACCGGUGGCGAAGGCGGUCAUCUGGCUCGAAACUGACGCUGAGGCACGAAAGCGUGAGGAUCAAACAGGAUUAGAUACCCUGGUAGUCCACGCCCUAAACGAUGUAUGCUUGGUGUUGGGGUCGCAAGAUCUCAGUGCCGUAGGAAAUCUGAUAAGCAUACCACCUGGGGAGUACGAUCGCAAGGUUGAAACUCAAAGGAAUUGACGGGGGCCCGCAC